CAAAGGCAUGAAUGCUUGUUCAGUCUUAAAUGACGAAAGUCUCUAUUUCUCGCAACAUUUUGUGGCAUUAAAAGUAGGGAACUGCUCUUGGAAAUGUUGUUGGGCCUGGUGAUUAUUUCUGGUGCUGUGGGUCGCUGAGCUGGCCUCCGAGCCUAUUGGAAAUGUAAUUGAAUUCCUUUUACACAGCUCUGAAGCUGGAAUCCAGACUGAUUUAGAAAGACAGAGGGAGGGAUUUUACUGAGUAAAAUGUCAUGGGCUAGAGAACUGGCAGCAGGUAUUAAAUGUAAACCUGAUUGGGAGAUGUAUUUGCCGAGUUGUCUGAUCCUAAGAGCUAACCAGACCUGUGAAUCCUGUCUUUUACAACCUGUUUAGCAAAAAUUGAAAUGUCAAAGGGGAAGAUCAAGGAGGAUGGGAACAGCUGUGCAGGUGAAUGGCUGCUUUAAUAUCCUUAAGGUCUUUAAAGGGCAAGGUCCAGUAACCCUCUAAGACCAGGGUGCCAAUCUGAGAAACCUCCUAGGACAGGAAGAAUCAGUGCUUUAAGCCUCUGUCCCUUUUCCUCUGUUAUCUGAACUUCCCUUAAGCUUGCUGUUGGCCUACAAGGCAGCAUAGAGUUGCUGGAGCUCAGUCUUCCAGGGGCAGCCCCGGGGGUCACUGCCAGCUCGGCUGUUGCCUUUUCUGUGUCUGUGUUGCUGUGAUCACUUCCUGUCGUAAGCCAGCCUUUCCCUUCAUUGCCCCCUCAUUUCUGAAGGCAUUGAACUCUUCUCUAAUACGUCUUUUGGGGUGUACUGCAUGCUUGAUACCCCCAAACCCUGGUAAAAAUCUUGGAACACUUUUAGCGAGGUGUGUAUGCUCCUUUUCACCCUGCAACCCACUCCCCCCCCCCCCGGCCCCCCCCCCACUUCGAUAGUUAUGAGCUUAGUUAGUCCUUCCGUCACCUGCAUUUCCUUUAAAAGAGGAAGCAUGUGCACAUUGUACCAGAAGGGGCUAGGAAGUCUGUACCUUCAGGAAACUACAGUUAAAAGCCGGACAGAAAAAGGUGAUCGUUUCCAUUUGCCCCCUGUCUGCCAAGAGCUGCCCUGAGUCCCCACUAGACCAAGCCCAUUAGUGCUUCUGAAAGUGAGCAAUGGACUGCUUGCUACCAGUCAACCCGAGAGGUGGGGCUAAAAUAACUCUAGAGUAUCAGAACAAUUGCUUCAAACCCUUCAAGGGGCAGUCAAGAAACUAGUAACAUGAGUAUAUGAAAACUAGUGAGCAUGGCCCUCAUACUUCAGGGCAUUAAACGUUUCAGUCCUCCUGGCUACAAGCUGCUAAUUGUCGAAGCUAGGGUUGGAUACAUGGGGUUUGUUAGUUAUGCUAGUCUACUUUACAGAUGUUUAGAAUAUUCUAUAAUAAGGAUUUUCCAACUCUGUGAGGUCUGCAAACUAGGAAUAAACUCCAUCACAUAGGAGUUAAGCUCUAUCAGCCAGAACUAGAAAUAUGACUCUUUACCUUCUUUUUGCUUUCACUCAGGAGGCAACUCUGGAAGCCCACACUUCCCUCUUAGCUAAAGCACAGCAUGGCCUGCUGUCCCAUUGCCCAGGAAGCGCAUAGCUAACCACUAUCAGCCACGAUUUGGUCCCAGCUCCUAGAGCUCUGGCUUGCUGAAAAAAUACAGCCCAACCAGAUGGGAACUCCUGCCUGGCACUGGGGCUUCUAAGCCAUCAGGCAUCAUGGCGGAUGUGAAGGGAACCAACUCAGAAGCCUCUCCAGGAAAUCCUUAGUGCCAAAGGUGUUAGAGCAGCUUCAUUUAAACAUGUGAAGGAUCCCCGGCCCCAUCCCUGUCUUCCACAAGGUUGCUUUGUGUCUUACUGAAGCCCCUGGCUGUGCUUUUCUGGAACAGUGGCACAGCAGACAACUCCUUUACCUCAAGGUUCAUUACCUUCUUGAUAUGAUACCUACUUGUUUAGGCCAUGAAAUUUCACUGUGAAUAAGCAAAGAUUUGGCAGGAUGUUCACCACUAGAGCAAGCACCUGAAGGAAACCUUGGCCUCACCUCGGCAUAUGUGACUAUUGCUGUUUCACAGGAGAUCCAUUCUAGAAAUGCCUUUGCUCAUAGCUGAACUGAUUAACAAAACCUUGAAGAAAGCACAAAGUUUUAGUUCAAAAAAUAAUCCAGCUUCUCUGUCAUCAUCCCUUGCCUUCUUAGGCCUAUCCAAACCGUACUGGUAAGAACUUCACAUUCAAAAAACGUUACGGUCAGUGAUUCUUCAUACAUAAAAUUCAAGUGAUUUCCUUG